AUGCCUUUGCCUGUUCCUGUUGCUCCAUGGGAGGACAUUUCUAUGGACUUCGUCUUGGGCUUGCCAAGAACAAGACGAGGAAGUGAUGCUGUAUUUGUGGUCGUGGAUAGAUUCUCUAAGAUGGCUCAUUUCAUCCCAUGCCGCAAGACAACGGAUGCUCAUCAUGUGGCAAACCUAUUCUUUCGAGAAGUGGUCAGACUUCAUGGAGUUCCAAGGUCCAUUGUCUCAGACCGUGAUAGCAAGUUUCUUGCUGCAUUUUGGCUCACUUUGUGGAAGCAAUUCAACACUGAAUUGAAAUUUUCUAGCACUGCUCAUCCACAAACAGAUGGACAAACGGAAGUGGUGAACAAGUUUUUGGGUAAUCUGAUCCGUUGCAUUUGUGGAGAAAGA
rnacentral:rRNA from 1 species